CCAGAUAUCUCAAUACCACAGCAUGUUGAUAAUAGAGACCUUUUCGACAUGCUUUCAUCUUCCUACUCUUGUAUCAAACGCUACAGCAGAGAAAUGCUCCCCUUUUGGGACUGCAGUCAUAUGCUUGUUUUCUUCAACCAGAAAAAAAAAGGGCUCGAUGGCAGGACGUAACCUGAAGUUGUUGCAGGAUGACAAGCUGGGGAUGUAAUAUCUUUGGCUUCGUCCGGAUUCAAAGGUUAUUUGGAAGAGAACUUCCGCGUCGACUCGGGAUGUAAGGAUAGUCCUUCUUGGAUUUUCGGAGGCCAUCCACGCGCAAAAUUCAGCGCUUCGGUAUAAUUUGUGGUUGACAGAAAAGAGAUUUUCCGGUUGGGUGUCAAGGUCAUUUGUAACCGCCCAGGCAUCUGGUGACAUCUGGCUCUUUAGGCAAGCUGAAAUCUGAAAAGAGGAAGAGAUCAGAAUACGGGGAACAUUGAUCCAUGGGAAUGCCAUGAUGAGCGUACGCGAAUGCUUGAGCCGAUGGCAGUAUCGGAAUUCUCUCUCAUGCGAUAGCGAGUCGUUAGCUUCCUUGCAACCACUUGUUAUAAAGCUUUGAUCGAUACGAUGAAUUUUCGAAUAUGCCCCUU